ensembl:lncRNA
AUGAUGAACCGGAAUAUGGAUCAUUUUAGCACACUUCUCGCCGUGGUGUCAGGUGUAACUGUGCUGUAUCUCUGUCACUCGGUCUUCUACACUUCUCACAUCUCGAUGAAAGCGCACACAGUCUUUGAUUCCCAGAAACAUUUGCCAGGUUCAGUGUACCUCAUGACCAGAUACAUUUAUCAAUCUCUCCGCAAAAAACGAGGAGCAAUGAGGAGAAACAAAGACACAAAUGACGAGCUUGUUUUCACUUUGGUCAACUGCAGGUAUAAUGCUGUAUCUUUGAGGAGGUUCUGCAGUGUUUCAGGUUAUGGUUGGGACUAUCCUGACAGUGUCUUCAGAGACGUUCCCCUGUGCUACCCCGAGUUUCUCUUCAGCAGACUUCUCACUAUGAUUGUGUGCUCGGAGAGAUUCAGACUGAGCCCUCUGGGUCUGUUGCGUGUCUGUGAGAGCUUGCGUCUGAGCGAUGCCUUGGAUGAGCUGAAGAGAGGGACGUUCUCCCUGCAGGCCAGAGUGCUGGAGUACAGGACUGUUAGUGCUGGAGUGGAGGUGGAUCUCGCUUUAACUGCAUCUAGAGAUCAGCAGACCGUUUGGAGCAGCACACUGACUCUACUCUCUCCUAACAAUACACACAGACCCAACGCUCAGCCUGACUUAGAGAUCACCCAUGAUCCAGUCUCAGAGAGAUGCAUCAGCCUGGCUGUUCCUUGGUCUACAGGUGUGAGGAGCACCUGGGUGUUUGGUGACCUUUGCCCUCUGCCUGUGUUUGUUUGGCUGGGCUUUACCCGUCCCACCACACACUCGCUGUGGAUGUUCUCCAGGUGCAUGGCAGAAAUGGAGAAACACAAAGGUAAGUAAUGUUCGAAGGCCUAUUCACAAAAAACGCUUCUUUAUCACGCAAAUUUCUUUGAAGGUCCAUAGGAAUACAUGCUUGAAUGUAUGAUGUCUUUCACUCCAAAAAUUUGCAUUGUGUAAAUUGAUCCACUCCGAAUUAUUUAUUAAUAAACAUAUAUUAAAAUAUAUUACUAUAUUGCA